AGUGAACGCUGGCGGUAGGCCUAACACAUGCAAGUCGAACGGCAGCACAGUAAGAGCUUGCUCUUACGGGUGGCGAGUGGCGGACGGGUGAGGAAUACAUCGGAAUCUGCUUUUUCGUGGGGGAUAACGUAGGGAAACUUACGCUAAUACCGCAUACGACCUACGGGUGAAAGCAGGGGAUCUUCGGACCUUGCGCGAUUGAAUGAGCCGAUGUCGGAUUAGCUAGUUGGCGGGGUAAAGGCUCACCAAGGCGACGAUCCGUAGCUGGUCUGAGAGGAUGAUCAGCCACACUGGAACUGAGACACGGUCCAGACUCCUACGGGAGGCAGCAGUGGGGAAUAUUGGACAAUGGGCGCAAGCCUGAUCCAGCCAUACCGCGUGGGUGAAGAAGGCCUUCGGGUUGUAAAGCCCUUUUGUUGGGAAAGAAAAGCAGCAGGUUAAUACCCCGCUGUUCUGACGGUACCCAAAGAAUAAGCACCGGCUAACUUCGUG
rnacentral:rRNA from 1 species